rnacentral:lncRNA from 10 species
AGCACUGGCCUGGUAGGAAACACUGGAAAAGGUCAUCCAGCAGCUUAAGGAGGCUGGGAGAGAAGAGUUGGAGAAGGAAGAAGAGUUGGGGAGGAGGCUGGAGACACAGAGGACCUGUUCCUCCCUCCUGCUUUCCUUUUCCUUCCUGGAUUGGCCAACCUCUAGCUGACGCUUGGGGGAGGAGGAGGAAAGGGAGGUCUUCUGUGGGGCCAUUUGGUCCAGAGCAGGAGAAGCUGGCAUGGAGGAGGACAGGGUAGAGGAAGUACCACCAAGGACAGCAGGCUUAGGAUUCUUCCUUCCCUGCACCUCCCCUUCCCCACCCAGCACUCAUCCAGACCUGGAUCCUAUGGAAAUCACAGGUAUUUUGUUCUCAACUGACAACCUUGUCUUCUUAAUGAGUGAAGAGUUCUCCCCGCAACUCUCUGCACCCACCCCCGCCAGGUUCUGUCUUACCCUACAUCUCACCACACCUGACUCUGCUAAGUAAAAGGAUAAAACCAGGAGCACAGCCAUGCCAGUCUCCUGUGGCUCUGUCCCCUCCACCUUCCUCCCGUGGCCCCAUCCAGGAAAUCGGCCCACAAGAGAGGCCGACGCUGCUUCUGACCAGAGCUACCGAGCGCCUCUCUGGAGACAAUGGCUCAGAGAGAAGGAGGAAGACUAGCAGCUCCAGCUUUGUGCUCAGGGUGGCCACACAAAACCAUUGUCUUGACAUCAGGACAGACAAUGGUUUGUAUCUCUGGCUUCUGCGCUGAGCAGUUCACUCCCUUGGACUAAGAUAAUUUUAAAGAUUUCCUUCUAAUAAAUAGUAAUGAUACUGG